AUUGAACGCUGGCGGCAUGCUUUUCACAUGCAAGUCGAACGGUAACAGGCCGCAAGGUGCUGACGAGUGGCGAACGGGUGAGUAAUGCAUCGGAACGUGCCCAGUCGUGGGGGAUAACGCAGCGAAAGCUGCGCUAAUACCGCAUACGAUCUAUGGAUGAAAGCGGGGGACCGUAAGGCCUCGCGCGCUUGGAGCGGCCGAUGUCAGAUUAGGUAGUUGGUGGGGUAAAGGCUCACCAAGCCAACGAUCUGUAGCUGGUCUGAGAGGACGACCAGCCACACUGGGAAUGAGACACUGCCCAGACUCCUACGGGCGACAGCAGUGGGGAAUUUUGGACAAUGGGCGCAAGCCUGAUCCAGCAAUGCCGCGUGCAGGAAGAAGGCGUUCGGGUUGUAAACUGCUUUUGUACGGAACGAAACGGGCGUGGUUAAUACCUGGGGCUAAUGACGGUACCGUAAGAAUAAGCACCUGCUAACUACGUGCCAGCCGCCGCGGUAACAC
rnacentral:rRNA from 1 species